UUUUUAUGAUGAAAAACAAUUUUCCAGUUCUGCUACUUAGUGCAACCGUGCUGAUACACAAUUACCCACUAGAUUCCUGAUCC
rnacentral:snoRNA from 1 species